rnacentral:lncRNA from 1 species
CCAUAUACAUUGCACACUUUUUUCUUGGUGAAUGAGUCACUUGUUUUGAAUCUUGCAAAUUGAUGUUGUUUUAUGAGGGAGUUUCGAAUGUUUAAGCAAUUCCUAAUUGAUUUGCUCUCCCGCUCGAGGGCGCUUUCACGGCAUUGUCAUUUGAGAAUUGUUGUGGUGUGUCUGCUAUCAAAUGGUUACGGUGUAGCGGUUGUCAAAGCGACGCAAUCGCCAAGGUUGUCUGAGG